GACAGAGGGUGCAAACGUUGUUCGGAAUUACUGGGCGUAAAGGGCGCGUAGGCGGCCUGUUAAGUCGAACGUGAAAUCCCCGGGCUCAACCCGGGAACUGCGUCCGAUACUGGCAGGCUUGAAUUCGGGAGAGGGAUGUGGAAUUCCAGGUGUAGCGGUGAAAUGCGUAGAUAUCUGGAGGAACACCGGUGGCGAAGGCGGCAUCCUGGACCGGAUAUUGACGCUGAUGCGCGAAAGCCAGGGGAGCAAACGGG
rnacentral:rRNA from 1 species